UACAGAGGAGCCAAGCGUUGUCCGGAUUGACUGGGCGUAAAGCGCACGCAGGCGGAUGCGCGCGUGGGGGGUGAAAUCUGGCCGCUUAACGGCCAGGCGCCAUCCCAUACGGCGCGUCUGGAGUGAUGCAGAGGUCGGUGGAAUUGCCGGUGUAGUGGUGAAAUGCGCAGAUAUCAGGAGGAACACCGGUGGCGAAGGCGGUUCUCUGGGCAUUACCUGACGCUGAGGAGCGAAAGUGUGGGGAGCGAACAGG
rnacentral:rRNA from 1 species